rnacentral:misc_RNA from 1 species
GAACGCACCUUGCGCUCCUUGGUAUUCCGAGGAGCAUGCCUGUUUGAGUGUCAUUAAUAUAUAUCAACCUUCUCACUUGUUGAGAGGUUUGGAUGUGGGGGUUUGCUGGCCCUUUUUUUUUAAAAAAAAAAGGUUCAGCUCCUCUGAAAUGCAUUAGCAGAACAAACCUUGUUCAUUGGCGUGAUAACUAUCUACGCUAUUGAAUGCGAGGGGCAGUUCAGCUUUCUAAUGGUCCUCGGACAAAUUCAUCAUUAAUGUGACCUCAAAUCAGGUAGGACUACCCGCUGAACUUAAG